rnacentral:rRNA from 1 species
CCGGACCUGACUGCUAUCGUAUUGGUACUAAGCCAUGCGAGUCGUUGUACAUACAAGGCGAACUGCUCAGUAACACGUAGUUAACCUAACCUAUGGAUGGGGAUAACCUCGGGAAACUGAGAAUAAUACCCAAUAGACCACAGUGCCUGGAAUGGCCUGUGGUUGAAAUGAUUUAUCGCUGUAGGAUAGGACUGCGGCCUAUCAGCUUGUUGGUGAGGUAAUGGCCCACCAAGGCUAUAACAGGUACGGGCUCUGAGAGGAGGGGCCCGGAGAUGGGUACUGAGACACGGACCCAGGCCCUAUGGGGCGCAGCAGGCGAGAAACCUUUACAAUGUGCGAAAGCACGACAAGGUUAAUCCGAGUGUCUCCUGCUAAAGGAGUCUUUUGUCAGUUGUAGAAUCACUGGUGAAUAAGGGGUGGGCAAGUUCUGGUGUCAGCCGCCGCGGUAAAACCAGCACCUCGAGUGGUCAGGAGGUUUAUUGGGCCUAAAGCAUCCGUAGCCGGUUGCCAUAAGUUUCCGGUUACAUCUAUGCGCUCAACGUAUAGGCCGCCGAAAAUCUGUGCAGCUAGGGAGUGGGAGAGGUCCA